ACACGAUGCCCAUAAUUCAGGACCGGCUGCGGCACAAUUGUAACAGUAGCAGUCACCUGGAAGAAAAAGAUGUGGCGCAGGUGAAACUCAGAAAUAUUGAGCGGACUGAAAUCGUCGGUGAAAGUGUACCGUCAGAAUAUCCUUCAACCGCGAAGGGGUUAAUGUUACGCCGCUCGAGAGAAUUGGAAGAUCACCUGUUGAGGUGGUUUCCAGAACGCUAAUGGGCUGCGAAGAAUGUCUUAUGCAAGUUAAAUGGGUUAAGGAAUCGAAAGGAAGAUUGCGCUAGCAAGAAAGCUGAGGUUUCAUUAAUAUUCGAAAGCAUCCAGUAUUCGAUGGUGAAACACGGCCUUAUUAGAUAGCGAUGCACCGAUCCUUCGAUCAGACAUUAACUUCAUAGAUUAACAUUCUUGCACGCGAUACGCUGCAUUUAACGUGGGCAAACAAUGUCUGGGAGCGGCUAUGUCAAGGUUACCAUCUGCAUUGUGCGUUUCUGUUUUCCAUAGAGAAACGGAAGAAAACGCGAAGGAUUCUCCAAAAAAAUUUACCUUGCGGACAGUCGACGGAUCUCCUCGCCUCGGCCCUCCUACACUCGAGACCCUCCUCCCCCUUUGGACAGGACGCGGAAGACUCCUCGAUGGAAUUUUCGCCCAAUAUCGCGUUUAUCUAAAAGCGUCAAACCUAAUUAAAUUCUUCUAUUACCGACUAACAAAUUGCUCUUUGUACCAGAAUUAUUAGUAAGUUUUAUUAAAGGGAAAAUUACUACAUCCA